UACAGAGGUCCCAAGCGUUGUUCGGAUUCACUGGGCGUAAAGGGUGCGUAGGUGGUGAGGUAAGUCGGAUGUGAAAGCUCGGAGCUCAACUCCGAAAUGGCAUUGGAAACUACCUCGCUCGAGGGUUGGAGGGGGGACUGGAAUGCUUGGUGUAGCAGUGAAAUGCAUAGAUAUCAAGCGGAACACCAGUGGCGAAGGCGAGUCCCUGGACAACUCCUGACACUGAGGCACGAAAGCUAGGGGAGCAAACAGGA
rnacentral:rRNA from 1 species